UUCUUAUUAGCUUAAUGGUAAAGCGGAAUACUUCUAAUAUUUUAAUCUUAGUUCGAAUCUGGGAUAAGAAU